CGAAGAUAAAAUUUGGAUUAAGGGAGGAUGUUAAAAUAAUAAUCCAAACUUAAUUAAAAUAUAAUUAGAGAUAAGUUUAAAUCUUUUAUUUGAUUAUGAUUAGGAUUUGUAGUUAUCUAAAGUAAAAAUUAGAUUUAUCAUUUGUUAUGACUUGAUAGCUAUAUAAAUAUAGUUAGGUAUGGAUUAAUUAGAUAAAUAUAUAAACAAACCAUAGUAGACAUGACUGCAUGAGUGGUGCUAAGGUUGUAUUUAAAUAUUUUUUAUUAAUAAAGUAUUUGAUUAUUUAUCUUCUUCCUCCUUCAAUAUCUCUUCUUCAUAUUAUNAAAAUUUUAAUUAAAAUAUAGAUUCACAGUAAAUAUCUUUCGGUUGGCAAAAAUUUGGAUAAGUGUAUUUUUUUUCUAUUUUAGAGAUAAAUAGAAAUUAAAAGUUUGUUUAAUUACGUUAUUUAUUUUACAUAAGGAAAGAGAAAACAAUAUAUUUUUCCCGCCAAAAAAUGAGUUUGUCGACAGACCUAAAUUUGAAAUACGUGCUUUUAUAUAUAGUAUAGAUAGUAUAGAUAUAUGAAAGUAUCUGCAAACUAAAUUUCAUAAAUUUUCGGCAUCAUUUAUCUAUCAAACGAGUAAUCUAAAAAUGAACGGCUGAAAAUAAAAAUGUCCUAAAAAAUAAUGAUAAAAGAUUUGAAUUUACGAUCAGAGAUACUGAUCUUACUUUAAAUAGUGAAAAAAAAUUUCUUUAAAAAUUUCAUCAUAUUUAAAUUGUUUUAUACCGUUAAAUUCAUAAACGCAUUACAUCGACCAUUAAAAUUGUUAAUUUUGAGACCUUUUGAUCACUAGCUAAAUGAUGUCGAAAAAUUAUAAAAUUUAGUUUUCAAAUACUUUUAAUAGUAUAGAUCAAGUCUAAUGGAGCCGAUCAUCAAUUUGGAAGCCACAUCAUUGAAAACAACUUGGUAGCACAGAGGCCUCCGUGCUCACUGAAAACCAAUCAUCUCACAUUACUCCGCUCAGAAGCAGUCCUAUAUCCCAUAUAUUGUUUUCUACUAAAUUGGUCUUUUUAAGUAACAUAAUAUCAGAGCCCAAAUACGAGCCGAAGUGUUGAAUAUUAGACUAAGAACUAAACUACAUUAUGUAGAAAUAACUUUGGAGCAGUUUAUAUUUGAUGCUUUUGGGUGGCAAUCAAGCUCGUUUAGCAUGCAUUAAUUAUCUUUGAAUAAGAAAAAUCAAAACAUGAUUUUAUUUUUUUUUUAAAAAAAGUCAAGAGUAUGUGU
rnacentral:lncRNA from 1 species